rnacentral:snRNA from 1 species
GUGCUCGCUUUGGCAGCACAUGUACUAAAAUCGGAAUGAUACAGAGAAGAUUAGCAUGGUCCCUGCGCAAG